GGAGAGGUGCAGGAGUGGUUGAACUGGCCGCUCUCGAAAAGCGGUGUACCGCAAGGUACCGAGGGUUCGAAUCCCUCUCUCUCCGCCA
rnacentral:tRNA from 1 species